rnacentral:rRNA from 1 species
UGGUUCCUACGGGGGGCAGCAGUGGGGACUAUUGCACAAUGGGGGAAACCCUGAUGCAGCGACGCCGCGUGAGUGAAGAAGUAUUUCGGUAUGUAAAGCUCUAUCAGCAGGGAAGAAAAUGACGGUACCUGACUAAGAAGCCCCGGCUAACUACGUGCCAGCAGCCGCGGUAAUACGUAGGGGGCCAGCGUUAUCCGGAUUUACUGGGUGUAAAGGGAGCGUAGACGGCAUGGCAAGUCAGAUGUGAAAGCCCGGGGCUCAACCCCGGGACGGCAU